ACUGCCCUUAAAGACAUUGCAGGUGUGGCUGCUGUGUCACAUAUGUGUCAUUAGGUGGCAGAGAGAAAAGAUGCUAUGUCUAUCUAUGCUCAGGGUUCUGACUUGUGACCAUCAGAAUAAUUAGUAGCCUAAGACU
ensembl:snoRNA Gm25756 predicted gene, 25756